AACGAACGCUGGCGGCAGGCCUAACACAUGCAAGUCGAGCGGAUCCUUCGGGAUUAGCGGCGGACGGGUGAGUAACGCGUGGGAAUAUGCCCUUCUCUACGGAAUAGCCUCGGGAAAUUGAGAGUAAUACCGCAUACGCCCUUUGGGGGAAAGAUUUAUCGGAGAAGGAUUAGCCCGCGUUGGAUUAGGUUGUUGGUGGGGGAAUGGCCUUCCAAGCCUGCGAUCCAUAGCUGGUUUGAGAGGAUGAUUAGCCACACUGGAGCUGAGACACGGCCCAGACUCCGACGGGAGGCAGCAGUGGGGAAUCUUAGACGAUGGGGGCAACCCUGAUCUAGCCAUGCCGCGUGAGUGAUGAAGGCCUUAGGGUUGUAAAGCUCUUUCAGCUGGGAAGAUAAUGACGGUACCAGCAGAAGAAGCCCCGGCUAACUCCGUGCCAGCCGCCGCCGUAA
rnacentral:rRNA from 1 species